CUGCUGUCUCUGCUGCUGCUGCUGCUGUUGUUGCUGCUGCUGCUGCAUCAUCAUCUGUUGCUGUAGCUGCUGCUGCUGCUG
rnacentral:sRNA from 1 species